GCUCGCCUUACCUAAGUUUUGUUCAUACAUUUGGCGUUUUCUUUACUCCCUGGGUUAAGGAGGCUUCUUGCAAAGCAAACUCAAAGGCCAAGGUGAGUCUCGCAGUUGUUAGAAGGUGUUAGUGACCAAGCCAUUGGGAUGGGAAUCAUUCG